rnacentral:ncRNA from 2 species
CGAGAAACGGAACGCUUCGGUUCCGCCAUAUGCGCGGAUUAAAAGGGAACACGGUGCGGAUUACCCAUCAGGGGCCAACGCCGUGGCUGCCCUCGCAACUGUAAGCGGCGAGCGUUUCGCAAUGAUGCCACUGGAGAUGUCCGGGAAGGCCGCGAACGCGCCAGAGCCGUGAGCCAGGAGACCUGCCCAGGCACCAUACCAUGA